rnacentral:rRNA from 1 species
CUACGGGAUGCAGCAGUGGGGAAUAUUGCACAAUGGGCGCAAGCCUGAUGCAGCCAUGCCGCGUGUAUGAAGAAGGCCUUCGGGUUGUAAAGUACUUUCAGCGGGGAGGAAGGGAGUAAAGUUAAUACCUUUGCUCAUUGACGUUACCCGCAGAAGAAGCACCGGCUAACUCCGUGCCGAGCAGCCGCGGUAAUACGGAGGGUGCAAGCGUUAAUCGGAAUUACUGGGCGUAAAGCGCACGCAGGCGGUUUGUUAAGUCAGAUGUGAAAUCCCCGGGCUCAACCUGGGAACUGCAUCUGAUACUGGCAAGCUUGAGUCUCGUAGAGGGGGGUAGAAUUCCAGGUGUAGCGGUGAAAUGCGUAGAGAUCUGGAGGAAUACCGGUGGCGAAGGCGGCCCCCUGGACGAAGACUGACGCUCAGGUGCGAAAGCGUGGGGAGCAAACAGGAUUAGAUACCCGCGUAGUC